GUAAGGCAUGCAGCGGACCAAUACUAAUAAGUCGAGGGCUUAACUUUA
rnacentral:rRNA from 1 species